rnacentral:rRNA from 1 species
AUGGAGUACUAUCAUAUUGCCAACAAGAUGUUUAAUAGUGAGGAUGAAGGUUAUACAUUCUAUAACAAAUAUGGUCUUGGGAAAGGUUUUAGUGUCCGGAGAAGCUAUGUCGAGUGGGAUGGAUCCAACUGCCAUAUAAUUUUAAGGAAAUUUGUGUGUAGUCGUGAAGGGGUUCGUGAAGAGAAGCACAUGAACAGGAAGAUGGAAGAUAGAAAGAGGAGGCCACAGAGUAUAACUCGUGUAGGGUGUAAAGCUAAAUUGGUGUUUGCAAGACAUGAGGAAACAGGUCAGUGGUUUGUCAAGGAUUUCAUCGAUGAACACAACCAUCCUCUAGCCCCACGGGAUCUGUCGUGUCUUUUGCGUUCACACAGAAGAAUUAGCGAUGAGCAGAAAGCGGACAUUGCAGACAUGGAAAAAUCUGGGAUCAGAAAACACCAUAUUAUGGAUAUUAUGUGCAUGCAAUACAGUGGAUAUGAUGAGGUUGGAUGCAUUAUGAGGGACAUUUACAAUUUCUGCCAUGCUAACAAGCAGGAAACAAUUUCUUCCGGGGAUGCUCAAACGGUGAUCAAUCACAUGGUGGCGAGGCAAGAGCAAGAUUCAGAUUUUUUCUUCAGGUACUUGGUUGAUGAAGCUGGCCAUCUGAAGGGACUAUUCUGGUGUGAUAGUCAAUCCUGACUUGACUACGAGGCUUUCGGAGACGUUAUUGUUUUUGAUAGCACAUACAUAACCAAUAAGUACAAUCUGCCAUCUAUGCCGUUUGUCGGGUUGAAUCACCACCGCAGCACCGUUAUUUUUGCAUGUGGUAUCAUUUCACAUGAAACAAGCCAGGCAUACGAGUGGAUGUUAUGGACCUUUUCUGAUGCUAUGGGACAGAAGCAUCCUAUAUCUGUGAUCACGGAUGGGGACCUUGCAAUGCAGAGAGCAAUCAAGGUGGUGUGGCCUGACUCAAACCAUUGGCUCUGUAUAUGGCACAUUCAGCAGAACAUUGUACGCCAUCUGCAUGAUGACGCGGUAAAGGAGGAAUUCCGAUCUUUCAUAUAUGAUACAUCUUCCAUUGAAGAGCAUGAGAGAAAAUGGUUACACUUCUUACAACGGAAUAAAGUAACAAGUGAGGACUCCUGGCUGCAUCAGAUGUAUAAGAUGAGAAAACUGUGGUGUGCUCCAUAUCUUGAGGGCCGUUGUUUCCUAGGAUUGAGCAGCAAUCAGCGGAGUGAGAGUUUAAACUCGGUGCUACAUACGCAUCUUGAGGCUAAGAUGACGUUGUUUCAAAUGCUAGAGCACUAUGAGCAUUGCCUUGCGUCGCGACGCUUGAACGAGGCUCUCCAAGACGUCGAGGCCUUACAGUCCAUUCCGCUCACAGAGGAAAAUGCUUCAGUUCUUGAGAAACAUGCUACGAAAGUUUUCACUCUUGCUGUGUUUAAGUUGGUCUUAUGGAGCAUAGAUGCUGUCAUAAAAUGUGAGAUCAGAGAGGUACUUGAUGCAGCAGAGGUUACCACAUACGUUGUGUCUAAGAAGGAAAGAAUGGAUAAAAAGAUUGAAGUGCGCACGGAGACGAAGGAAGGUAUGCUUCGCAGUAUCAGUUGUUCUUGCCGCAAAUUGGGAAUUUUACAAGAAGAAACACUGCCCAGGUGUUGUGUUCCCACUAGGUGGAUAAUGAGUGCAAAAUGUGCAUUCGCACCGACCAGAAAGAGCGAGAUGUAUGCAUACUCUGGAGCCCUACAAAGGUACCGUAAGCUAAGGAAUUUUAGUCACGCAGCAUGUUUCAAGGCAUGCCACUCUGAUGAAGCGUUUCAGCAUCUAAAAAGGGUUUUGGAAGGAUAA